rnacentral:rRNA from 1 species
CCUACUGGUGGCAGCAGUGAGGAAUAUUGGUCAAUGGGCGAGAGCCUGAACCAGCCAAGUCGCGUGAAGGAUGACGGCCCUACGGGUUGUAAACUUCUUUUGUCAGGGAGCAAUUGAGUCCACGUGUGGGCUUAGCGAGAUUACCUGAAGAAAAAGCAUCGGCUAACUCCUUCCCAGCAGCCGCGGUAAUACGGAGGUUGCGAGCGUUAUCCGGAUUUAUUGGGUUUAAGGGGUGCGUGGGCGUAAUAUCAAGUCGGCGUUAAAAAUUCGGGGCUCAACCCCGUCGUGCCGUUGAAACUGGUGUUCUUGAGUGGGCGAGAAGUAUGCGGAAUGCGUGGUGUAGCGGUGAAAUGCAUAGAUAUCACGCAGAACUCCGAUUGCGAAGGCAGCAUACCGGCGCCCAACUGACGCUGAAGCACGAAAGCGUGGGUAUCGAACAGGAUUAGAUACCCUAGUAGUC